CGAGAAAGCCCGCAAGGGUGAGUAAAGCGGCGCACGGGUGCGUAACACGUGGGUAAUCUGCCCUAGAGUCCGGAAUAACUCGCCGAAAGGCGCGCUAAUGCCGGAUGAGACCACGGGAGCCUCGGCUCCUGCGGGAAAAGGUGGCCUCUGUACACAAGCUAUCGCUCUAGGAUGAGCCCGCGGCCCAUCAGCUCGUUGGCGGGGUAAUGGCCCACCAAGGCUACGACGGGUAGCUGGUCUGAGAGGACGAUCAGCCACACUGGAACUGAGACACGGUCCAGACUCCUACGGGAGGCAGCAGUGGGGAAUCUUGCGCAAUGGGCGAAAGCCUGACGCAGCAACGCCGCGUGUGUGAUGAAGGUCUUCGGAUCGUAAAGCACUGUCGCGAGGGACG
rnacentral:rRNA from 1 species